UGCGCCUUGCCAGCCCGCUCAGAAACUCAAAGGAAUUGACGGGGGCCCGCACAAGCGGAGGAGCAUGUGGUUUAAUUCGAUGAUACGCGAGGAACCUUACCUGGGCUCGAACGUAAGAUGACUGUAGGUGAAAGCUUACAUCUCUUCGGAGCAUUUUACGAGGUGCUGCAUGGUUGUCGUCAGCUCGUGCCGUGAGGUGUCGGGUUAAGUCCCAUAACGAGCGCAACCCCUACCUUUAGUUGCCAUCAGGUAAUGCUGGGGACUCUAAAGGAACUGCCUACGCAAGUAGUGAGGAAGGUGGGGAUGACGUCAAAUCAGCACGGCCCUUACGUCCAGGGCUACACACGUGCUACAAUGGUCGGUACAAAGGGUUGCCAAGCCGCGAGGUGGAGCUAAUCCCAUAAAACCGAUCGUAGUCCGGAUCGCAGUCUGCAACUCGACUGCGUGAAGUCGGAAUCGCUAGUAAUCGUGAAUCAGAAUGUCACGGUGAAUACGUUCCCGGGCCUU
rnacentral:rRNA from 1 species